CAGCGUCUAGGCUUCGUAGGAUCGGCAUGUAGCGUCCUUCGGAGAAGGUCCAAGGUUGGGCUGGGCGUGUUUGCUUUAUCCUUUAGGCCUAUCUCGCGGCGGCGGCGGCGGCGGUGCUCUAAGCGGCGGCGGCCUUCGGCUCCUGCGCUCCCUCUGGUACUGCUGGUAGGCGGCCAAGACGACGCUGCUAGACGAGGCGAAGCGGAGGCAGUUGGAGCUGGUGGAGUGGCUCUGGAAGUUGUACAGGAAGAUGUACUGCAUGGACCGAGCGACCGGGCUGAUGAAGGUGUGGCGGCAGUUGGGGCCGCUGGCGCAGUACCCUAUGUAAUACCCUUUCCAACUUCCUGUUCCACUUAGAACCGUACCUGUACAAUGCCGUCACAGACAACGGAGUCUUAAGGCGUCUGUCUUCAAUCGGUUCUGCGAAUACGUGAACGACCUCCUUUAGUCACUAUUCUACCUAUUCCGGAUAAAACACCUGGAGAAACAUUCCCGUAGGUUGUACGGCCGCUAUUCCUACAUACUUUUCGACCCGAUACAACAAAUAGCUUCCCACGAAGCCAUGAUGAGUCCCCUUCUUCUACCGGAACUAUACUCCUUCCGUAAUAGUGUUCUACAACUAUUCUUCAGGUAGUAUGGUGAGUUCUCUGGUUAAUGUGGACUGCUUGAACUUAUGCUGACUACGAUUAAAGAUUGAUAGCGAGAACGCAUCAACACAAGGGUAACUAGACGUGCUGAAGAUACCGUCGAGUUGUUCAAUAACAGAGAUCACAACAACUUACUCACUAGGACUUAAAAGAUAAACGUGUAAGGACAAUUCUAAACUGCGCCAAAAGUACCACCCGUGACUACUCGGUUGACCACGUACGACUUCACCUUGCUGUUACUAAAGAUCGAACGAUAAAAAUAGACCCG
rnacentral:rRNA from 1 species